AUUGAACGCUGGCGGCAGGCUUAACACAUGCAAGUCGAGCGAGCGGCGGACGGGUGAGUAAUGUCUGGGAAAGUGCCUGAGGGAGGGGGAUAACUACUGGAAACGGUAGCUAAUACCGCAUACCAUCAGAUGUGCCCAGAUGGGAUUAGCUAGUGGGUGGGGGAAUGGCUCACCUAGGCGACGAUCCCUAGCUGGUCUGAGAGGAUGACCAGCCACACUGGAACUGAGACACGGUCCAGACUCCUACGGGAGGCAGCAGUGGGGAAUAUUGCACAAUGGGCGCAAGCCUGAUACAGCCAUGCCGCGUGUGGGAAGAAGGCCUUCGGGUUGUAAAGCACUUUCAGCGAGGAGGCGUUACUCGCAGAAGAAGCACCGGCUAACUCCGUGCCAGCAGCCGCGGUAAUUC
rnacentral:rRNA from 1 species